CAGCAGCCGCGGUAAUACGUAGGUGGCAAGCGUUGUCCGGAAUUAUUGGGCGUAAAGGGCUCGCAAGCGGUUUCUUAAGUCUGAUGUGAAAGCCCCCGGCUCAACCGGGGAGGGUCAUUGGAAACUGGGAAACUUGAGUGCAGAAGAGGAGAGUGGAAUUCCACGUGUAGCGGUGAAAUGCGUAGAGAUGUGGAGGAACACCAGUGGCGAAGGCGACUCUCUGGUCUGUAACUGACGCUGAGGAGCGAAAGCGUGGGGAGCGAACAGGAUUAGAUACCCCUGUAGUCCCUGUCUCUUAUAC
rnacentral:rRNA from 1 species